rnacentral:rRNA from 1 species
UACGGGGGGGGCAAGCGUUGUUCGGAAUUACUGGGCGUAAAGGGCUCGUAGGUGGCCAACUAAGUCGGACGUGAAAUCCCUCAGCUUAACUGGGGAACUGCGUCCGAUACUGGAUGGCUUGAGUUUGGGAGAGGGAUGCGGAAUUCCAGGUGUAGCGGUGAAAUGCGCAGAUAUCGGGAGGAACACCAAUGGCGAAAGCAGGUAACUGGACUAUUACUGACACUCAACUGCGAAAGCUAGGGGAGCAAACAGGG